UCUGUAGGCGGUGCGGCAAGUCGGGAGUGAAAUCCCUGGGCUUAACCCAGGGGCUGCUUCCGAAACUGCCGUGCUGGAGUGCGAGAGAGGUGAGUGGAAUUGCAGGUGUAGCGGUGAAAUGCGUAGAUAUCUGCAGGAACACCAGAGGCGAAGGCGGCUCACUGGAUCGCAACUGACGCUGAGAGACGAAAGCUAGGGGAGCAAACAGGAUUAGAUACCCUGGUAGUCCUAGCCCUAAACGAUCAGGACUUGGCGUGGGCCCCGUACGGGGCUCGUGUCGGAGCUAACGUGUUAAGUCCUGCGCCUGGGGAGUACGGUCGCAAGGCUGAA
rnacentral:rRNA from 1 species